AUUGAACGCUGGCGGCAUGCCUUACACAUGCAAGUCGAACGGCAGCACGGGUGCUUGCACCUGGUGGCGAGUGGCGAACGGGUGAGUAAUACAUCGGAACAUGUCCUGUAGUGGGGGAUAGCCCGGCGAAAGCCGGAUUAAUACCGCAUACGAUCUACGGAUGAAAGCGGGGGACCUUCGGGCCUCGCGCUAUAGGGUUGGCCGAUGGCUGAUUAGCUAGUUGGUGGGGUAAAGGCCUACCAAGGCGACGAUCAGUGGCUGGUCUGAGAGGACGACCAGCCACACUGGGACUGAGACACGGCCCAGACUCCUACGGGAGGCAGCAGUGGGGAAUUUUGGACAAUGGGCGAAAGCCUGAUCCAGCAAUGCCGCGUGUGUGAAGAAGGCCUUCGGGUUGUAAAGCACUUUUGUCCAGAAAGAAAUCCUUGGCCCUAAUACGGUCGGGGGAUGACGGUACCGGAAGAAUAAGCACCGGCUAACUACGUG
rnacentral:rRNA from 1 species